UGAGUACGAGACGCUAAGGCGUCGAAGUAGUGUAUGUCAUACUUCCAAGAAAAGCUUGCACUGUCAUUCAUAAAAAAUGCCUGUACCAUAACCGACACAGGUGGGUAGGUAGAGUAUACUAAGGGGCGCGAGAUAACUCUCUCUAAGGAACUCGGCAAAAUAACUCCGUAACUUCGGGAGAAGGAGUGCCUUAUUUAUAUAAGGUUGCAUAACAAGAUCCAAGCAACUGUUUACCAAAAACACGGGUCUCCGCUAAGUCGUAAGACGAUGUAUGGGGGCUGACGCCUGCCCAGUGCCAGAAGGUUAAAGAAGUUGGUUAGCAAUAGCGAAGCUGAUAACUGAAGCCCUGGUGAACGGCGGCCGUAACAAUAACGGUCCUAAGGUAGCGAAAUUCCUUGUCGGGUAAGUUCCGACCCGCACGAAAGGCGUAAUGAUUUGGAUACUGUCUCGGAGAGGGACUCGGUGAAAUAGACUUGUCUGUGAAGAUGCGGACUACCUGCACCUGGACAGAAAGACCCUAUGAAGCUUUACUGUAACUUGAAAUUGAAAUUGGACUUUAUUCGCGCAGUAUAGGUGGGAGGCGUUGAAAAUAAUCUUGCGGGACUAUUGGAGCCAUCAGUGAGAUACCACUCUUAUAAUGUUAGAUUUCUAACUUUGAAUCAUUAUCUGGUCAAAGAACAGUUUCAGGCGGGCAGUUUGACUGGGGCGGUCGCCUCCCAAACGGUAACGGAGGCGUACAAAGGUUUCCUCUGAACGGGUAGAAAUCGUAUCUAGAGUAUAAAGGCAAAAGGAAGCUUGACUGUGAGACCUACAAGUCGAGCAGGGACGAAAGUCGGUCUUAGUGAUCUGACGGUACUGAGUGGAAAGGCCGUCACUCAAUGGAUAAAAGUUACUCUGGGGAUAACAGGCUGAUCUCCCCCAAGAGUUCACAUCGACGGGGAGGUUUGGCACCUCGAUGUCGGCUCAUCGCAUCCUGGGGCGGUAGUACGUCCCAAGGGUUGGGCUGUUCGCCCAUGAAAGCGGUACGCGAGCUGGGUUCAGAACGUCGUGAGACAGUUCGGUCCAUAUCCGGUGUAGGCGUUAGAAUAUUGAGAGGAGCCUUCUUUAGUACGAGAGGACCGAGAAGGACAUACCUCUGGUGUACCAGUUAUCGUGCCAACGGUAAACGCUGGGUAGCUAUGUAUGGAGUGGAUAACCGCUGAAAGCAUCUAAGUGGGAAGCCCACCUCAAGAUGAGUAUUCC
rnacentral:rRNA from 1 species